rnacentral:rRNA from 1 species
UACGGAGGGGGCUAGCGUUGUUCGGAAUUACUGGGCGUAAAGCGCACGUAGGCGGCUUUCUAAGUCAGGGGUGAAAUCCUGGAGCUCAACUCCAGAACUGCCUUUGAUACUGGAGAGCUCGAGUCCGGGAGAGGUGAGUGGAACUCCGAGUGUAGAGGUGAAAUUCGUAGAUAUUCGGAAGAACACCAGUGGCGAAGGCGGCUCACUGGCCCGGUACUGGCGCUGAUGUGCGAAAGCGUGGGGAG